rnacentral:rRNA from 1 species
GACGAACGCUGGCGGCGUGCUUAACACAUGCAAGUCGAACGGUGAAGCGCCUUCCUUUUUGGUGGGUGUGGAUGAGUGGCGAACGGGUGAGUAACACGUGAGUAACCUGCCCCCUUCUUCUGGAUAACCGCAUGAAAGUGUGGCUAAUACGGGAUAUUCUGGGUCUGUCGCAUGAUGGGUCUGGGAAAGAUAUUGUUUCGGUGGGGGAUGGGCUCGCGGCCUAUCAGCUUGUUGGUGGGGUGAUGGCCUACCAAGGCGGUGACGGGUAACCGGCCUGAGAGGGUGGACGGUCACACUGGGACUGAGACACGGCCCAGACUCCUACGGGAGGCAGCAGUGGGGAAUAUUGCACAAUGGGCGCAAGCCUGAUGCAGCGACGCCGCGUGAGGGAUGGAGGCCUGCGGGUUGUGAACCUCUUUCGCCAGUGAAGCAGGCCUGCCUCGUUUGUGGGUGGGUUGACGGUAGCUGGAGAAGAAGCGCCGGCUAACUACGUG